AGCGAACGCUGGCGGCAGGCUUAACACAUGCAAGUCGAGCGGGCACUUUCGGGUGUCCGCGGCGGACGGGUGAGUAACGCGUGGGAACAUGCCCUCUGGUUCGGAAUAACUCAGGGAAACUUGAGCUAAUACCGGAUACGCCCUUUUGGGGAAAGGCUUGCUGCCGGAGGAUCGGCCCGCGUCUGAUUAGCUAGUUGGUGAGGUAACGGCUCACCAAGGCGACGAUCAGUAGCUGGUCUGAGAGGAUGAUCAGCCACACUGGGACUGAGACACGGCCCAGACUCCUACGGGAGGCAGCAGUGGGGAAUAUUGGACAAUGGGCGCAAGCCUGAUCCAGCCAUGCCGCGUGAGUGAUGAAGGCCUUAGGGUUGUAAAGCUCUUUUAUCCGGGACGAUAAUGACGGUACCGGAGGAAUAAGCCCCGGCUAACUUCGUG
rnacentral:rRNA from 1 species